rnacentral:SRP_RNA from 1 species
UAUAGUCACUUACAAGGUUGGAAAAUGUAAAACCCCGUCAGGAUCGGAAGAUAGCAGCGGUAACAUUCAAAGAUAGAUGUAAAAAUGGCUAUACAA